rnacentral:rRNA from 1 species
AUUGAACGCUGGCGGCAGGCUUAACACAUGCAAGUCGAGCGAGCGGCGGACGGGUGAGUAAUGUCUGGGAAACUGCCUGAUGGAGGGGGAUAACUACUGGAAACGGUAGCUAAUACCGCAUACCAUCAGAUGUGCCCAUAUGGGAUUAGCUAGUAGGGGGGGUAAUGGCUCACCGAGGCGACGAUCCCUAGCUGGUCUGAUAGGAUGACCAGGCAGACUGAAACUGAAACUCGGUCCAGGCGCCUACGGGAGGCAGCCGUGGGGAAUAGUGUACAAUGGGCGCAAGCCUGAUGCAGCCAUGCCGCGUGUGUGAAGAAGGCCUUCGGGUUGUAAAGCACUUUCAGCGAGGAGGCGUUACUCGCAGAAGAAGCACCGGCUAACUCCGUGCCAGCAGCCGCGGUAAUUC